rnacentral:rRNA from 7 species
AGAAAGGAGGUGAUCCAGCCGCAGGUUCUC